GGUAGUAGGGGAAUGUUGAUUAAAAGUGAUCACUAGCUUGAGGGGAGGCAGUUCGACACCUCUAGAGAAAUCUCACAACUUUAGAGAGUACACGCGCAUCGAUACAAACUCAUUGUGCACCAUUGAAUACUAAAACUUAAGAAAAAGCUUUCUGUUUAUAUGUUUCAUAUUGGAGAAGUGAAAUGAAGAACUAUAUACUUUGUAACCAUUGACAUAUAAAUUAUUCGCGUUGCAUUGAAGAGGCGUUUCGAAGUGAAUCAUUUUGUACACAUUUUGAUAUUUGCAAGGAAGCAGUAGUGUUUCAGUAGUACACUGAGAUUAUUUCUCAUAAAAAAGAGGGAAUACUAGUCGGUAUAAUUUCAUAGUCUGGAAUAAAGCUUCCUUAACUUAAAAAAUGCCAGAUACCUCGAGUAUAUCUCACUACCCAUUAAAGGUGAUAUUUGCAAUUCAUUUAGUGCUAGUAACAUGGAGUAUUCAGGGAUAUUGGUGUCCAAGAUCAGUAAUGUUUUACAAUUUCUUAUUCUUUGUUUGUAUAUUAUGGGCUAUUCACCAUAUCGAAUCAGAUGAACCAUUGCAAUUUGCACUGCUAAUAAAUGUACUUUCCAUAUUUUUUGACGUAAUAACAUUAGCAAUUUAUUUUCCAACAACAUAUGCAUCUGAGAAGUUUAGCGCAGCAAUUAUGAUCAUAAACAUGAUUGCACGUGUCUUCACGAGCAUAUCAAUUCUGAGAAUAGGCCAAGCGAGAGGCGGUUGUUUAGCAACAAUGUUUUCGCAGAGUCCUGCAAUGGGUCAGUAAUACAUUGGACAGACAUCUGUGUUUUGUAGGCCUACCUUGCUUCUUCAAAGUUUUGCUUUAAGUUUUGGACGACAGGAUUAUGAGGACAUAUCUCACCCAAUUCCACAAAAUUCUGACUUUGCUACAAUCUAAGGUCUUGACUUAACAUUGCUAAAGUUUGAUAUCAAAAAUGGUAUCAAUACAUGUUGUUAUAUUUGUGUUAAUAAUAAGAUACAUAAUCACAUGUAACUCGACGAUACUCAGAUCUAUUUUUCAGAAGAAAAUUUCCAUAAAUCAGAAACUUUUUACCAAUACAAAUACUCGUUACGAAGACAAGCCGAAAGGAGAUGAUUAUGUAUCUUAAAAACAUGACCUCCUUUCAGCAUUGUACUGGAGCAAUAACACAUUGAAAUAUGGCCUGCCAUACAACCAUUGUUAUCAGUUUAUAUAUUAACAAUGAUAAGGAGUUGUAUUAUAACAACACAAAGAAAUGUUAUACUGUAAUACAGUCAUAAAUUUUAUCUUAGUUGUAUAUUUCGUAAGUUAAACUAAUGAAGA